rnacentral:rRNA from 1 species
UACGUAGGCAGCGAGCGUUGUUCGGAGUUACUGGGCGUAAAGGGUGUGUAGGCGGUUGUUUAAGUUUGGUGUGAAAUCUCCCGGCUCAACUGGGAGGUGCGCCGAAUACUGAAUGACUAGAGUGCGGGAGAGGAAAGUGGAAUUCCUGGUGUAGCGGUGAAAUGCGUAGAUAUCAGGAGGAACACCGGUGGUGUAGACGGCUUUCUGGACCGUAACUGACGCUGAGACACGAAAGCGUGGGUAGCAAACAGG